GGGAAGCUCAUGACCCACGGCUGUCCAGAAGCCAGAAUCUUCUCACUGCCCCGUGUCGCUCCCGCAAGGCCUACCAGAGGACCCUCAUGGUGUGGUAGGGGGUCCUGGCAGGGGCCAGGGGCCAGGGUGGAGACUUGGCAGUGGGGGUGGGUUUGGUGUCCCCACAGACGAGUUUGCCGUGAGCAUUCCUGGAUGUGGCAACCUCAGUCUCAAGAAGAGCGACAGGACGCCAGCUCCCAUGCAGAGACAGAUCCAGGUAAGAAACCAGCUCAUGUGUGACAAACUCACCAUCUCACCAUGAAGGUGACUCUUGAAAGCUCCUGUGCACCUUGGAACUGCUGAGACAUCUUCUGCUUGGAGGAGGCAAGGGACAGGCUUCCUGUUUCUAAAGGCGUGUGAGUGGCGACCUUGAGAAAUGUGGCCAGUGGAGCAUUUUGACUGAGUUGGGUCCCCUCGUGCAAUACUGUGAGACAGAACUCCCAGCGAGGCCCACGGCCUCUGACCAUGGGGGUUGGAGUGGGGAAACCAAUUAGCCAUUUUGUUGAAUUGGCUGGUUCUGACUCAAAUGAGCAGUCACAUUAGUAAAAAUAGGCAAACGGAUGUGCAUUGUAUUUGCCCAGAGCGAAUGAGUUGUUAUCCAUUUCAGUAAUAAUGAUAACCAGAUAUGUCUGAUAAA
rnacentral:lncRNA from 1 species